GCGGGUGUGGCGGAAUUGGCAGACGCGCAUGAUUCAGGGUCAUGUGGGCUUACGCUCGUGGGGGUUCAAGUCCCUCUACCCGCACCA
rnacentral:tRNA from 1 species